rnacentral:rRNA from 1 species
ACGGGUGAGUAACACGUGGGAACGUGCCCUUCGGUUCGGAAUAACUCAGGGAAACUUGAGCUAAUACCGGAUGCGCCCUUAUGGGGAAAGGUUUACUGCCGAAGGAUCGGCCCGCGUCUGAUUAGCUUGUUGGUGGGGUAACGGCCUACCAAGGCGACGAUCAGUAGCUGGUCUGAGAGGAUGAUCAGCCACACUGGGACUGAGACACGGCCCAGACUCCUACGGGAGGCAGCAGUGGGGAAUAUUGGACAAUGGGCGCAAGCCUGAUCCAGCCAUGCCGCGUGAGUGAUGAAGGCCUUAGGGUUGUAAAGCUCUUUUGUCCGGGACGAUAAUGACGGUACCGGAAGAAUAAGCCCCGGCUAACUUCGUGCCAGCAGCCGCGGUAAUACGAAGGGGGCUAGCGUUGCUCGGAAUCACUGGGCGUAAAGGGCGCGUAGGCGGCCGAUUAAGUCGGGGGUGAAAGCCUGUGGCUCAACCACAGAAUUGCCUUCGAUACUGGUUGGCUUGAGACCGGAAGAGGACAGCGGAACUGCGAGUGUAGAGGUGAAAUUCGUAGA